rnacentral:rRNA from 1 species
GUGAGGAAUAUUGGUCAAUGGGCGGGAGCCUGAACCAGCCAAGUCGCGUGAAGGAAGAAGGAUCUAUGGUUCGUAAACUUCUUUUGCAGGGGAAUAAAGUGCAGGACGUGUCCUGUUUUGUAUGUACCCUGAGAAUAAGGAUCGGCUAACUCCGUGCCAGCAGCCGCGGUAAUACGGAGGAUCCGAGCGUUAUCCGGAUUUAUUGGGUUUAAAGGGUGCGUAGGUGGUGUGAUAAGUCAGCGGUGAAAGUUUGCAGCUUAACUGUAAAAAUGCCGUUGAAACUGUCGGACUUGAGUGUAAAUGAGGUAGGCGGAAUGCGUGGUGUAGCGGUGAAAUGCAUAGAUAUCACGCAGAACUCCGAUUGCGAAGGCAGCUUACUAAGCUACAACUGACACUGAAGCACGAAGGCGUGGGGAUCAAACAGGAUUAGAUACCCUAGUAGUCC